UUUGUUUGUUUAUCUGUGCUGAGUAUUCGUGCGUUUGUCUGUGCUGAGUAUUCGUGCGUUUGUCUGUGCUGAGUGUUCAUGUGUUUGUCUGUGCUGCGUAUUCGUGCGUUUGUCUGUGCUCAGUAUUCGUGCGUUUGUCUGUGCUGAGUGUUCAUGCGUUUGUCUGUGCUGAGUGGUCGUGCGUUUGUCUGUGCUGAGUGGUCGUGCGUUUGUCUGUGCUGAGUGGUCGUGCGUUUGUCUGUGCUGAGUGUUCAUGCGUUUGUCUGUGCUGAGUGUUCAUGCGUUUGUCUGUGCUGAGUGGUCGUGCGUUUGUCUGUGCUGAGUGUUCAUGCGUUUGUCUGUGCUGAGUGUUCAUGCAUUUAUCUGUGCUGAGUAUUCGUGCGUUUGUCUGUGGUGAGUAUUCGCGC
rnacentral:lncRNA from 1 species